UCCCUAGUGGCUCAGAUGGUAAAGCAUCUGCCUGCAAUGCGGGAGACCUGGGUUUGAUUCCUGGGUUGGGAA
rnacentral:tRNA from 1 species